AUGGUACCCUGGUAAACACAUUAGCUGGUGUUGGUGUUACACCGAGGAGUGUUGUACAAGGAGGGGUGCUUUUACUGCUGUUCUGAAGAAGAACACAAGUGUGAGGAGGAUGGAGCGCCUGGCCUCCUUCAGUAAUGACCCUUUUGAUAAACCACCUUGCAGAGGCUGCUCUUCCUACCUCAUGGAACCAUACAUCAAAUGUGCAGAAUGUGGGCCUCCUCCCUUUCUCCUGUGUUUGCAGUGUUUCACACGAGGAUUUGAGUAUAAGAAACACCAGAGUGAUCAUACUUAUGAAAUCAUGACGUCAGAUUUUCCUGUCCUGGAUCCCAGCUGGACAGCUCAGGAGGAAAUGGCACUUCUAGAGGCCGUGAUGGAUUGUGGAUUUGGAAACUGGCAGGACGUGGCCAAUCAGAUGUGCACAAAAGCAAAGGAGGAGUGUGAGAAACAUUAUAUGAAACACUUCAUCAACAAUCCCUUGUUUGCAUCUACAUUGCUGAACUUGAAGCAGGCAGAAGAGGCACAAAACGCUGACAUGGCCAUUCCAUUCCACCCUGCUGAUGAUCCUCCACGACCUACCUUUGAUUCCUUGCUCUCCAGGGACAUGGCUGGGUAUAUGCCAGCUAGAGCUGACUUUAUUGAGGAAUUUGACAACUAUGCUGAAUGGGAUUUGAGAGAUAUAGAUUUUGUGGAAGAUGAUUCAGACAUUUUACAUGCUUUGAAGAUUGCAGUUGUAGAUAUCUAUCACUCCAGGUUAAAGGAAAGGCAGAGGAGAAAAAAAAUUAUAAGAGACCAUGGCCUUAUCAACCUCAGAAAAUUUCAGAUUUUGGAGAGACGAUACCCAAAGGAGGUCCAAGACCUUUAUGAAACAAUGCGACGGUUUGCAAGAAUUUUAGGCCCAGUGGAGCAUGACAAGUUCAUUGAAAGCCAUGCACUGGAAUUCGAACUGCGAAGAGAAAUAAGGCGUCUACAGGAAUACAGGACGGCAGGAAUCACUAACUUCUGUAGUGCAAGAACUUACGAUCACCUCAAGAAGACGCGAGAGGAGGAGCGCCUAAAGCGCACGAUGCUUUCCGAAGUCCUCCAGUACAUCCAGGACAGCAGCGCCUGCCAGCAAUGGCUCAGUCGACAAGCUGACAUUGAUUCUGGCCUGAGUCCCACAAUGCCAGUUGCUUCAAAUUCAGGUAGACGGAGUGCCCCCCCACUGAACCUCACAGGUCUCCCAGGCACAGAGAAACUUAACGAGAAGGAGAAAGAGUUCAGCCAGCUCAGACCAAAGGACUAAACCUCAGUCAACCGUAUUAGGCCAAACCUACUGAAGUUGAGUUAUAACACUAUGAUGAUCAAUGGAAGAUGAAACAGUUCAUUCUUGCUUUUUUGUGCUUUGUCCAAAUUUCUGCCCUUGGAUGUGCAUACUAGGCUCCUAGUAACUUUGGUGAGAGCUGCACAUUUCAAAGAGCAGAAUUUGGCCUUCUUUAAGAAACUUUUGUUAACUUGGCCUAGUAAUUGAGCACUGCGCUACCAUAUAGAAUACCAUGGUUCAUCUCCCAAUUCCUAUGAGAGACUGACUUAUCUGGCUAAUUAAAAACAGCCCUGGAAGGUUGAUGGGAGUCCCAUCUACUAAUCUUUCAAAUGGAAGAUGGUGGUCUUGACAUGGAGGAAGACAAUAGAAACAAGCUCUGUCAGAUGGUGAGAUUGGUUCCUGGAGCCUAUUUAGAAUAUAAAGCUGCUUUAGUGAAUGAGUGUAACAAGCAAGGAGGCUUGAGAUUAGCCCAGGCUAGAGCACUCAUCAAGAUCGACGUGAACAAAACC